AUUGAACGCUGGCGGCAUGCUUUACACAUGCAAGUCGAACGGCAGCGCGGGGGCAACCCUGGCGGCGAGUGGCGAACGGGUGAGUAAUGCAUCGGAACGUAUCCUGUAAUGGGGGAUAACGUAGCGAAAGUUACGCUAAUACCGCAUACGCUCGAGAGAGGAAAGUGGGGGAUCGCAAGACCUCACGUUAUAGGAGCGGCCGAUGUCCGAUUAGCUAGUUGGUGGGGUAAAGGCCUACCAAGGCGACGAUCGGUAGCCGGUCUGAGAGGAUGAUCAGCCACACUGGGACUGAGACACGGCCCAGACUCCUACGGGAGGCAGCAGUGGGGAAUUUUGGGACAAUGGGCGAAAGCCUGAUCCAGCCAUGCCGCGUGCGGG
rnacentral:rRNA from 1 species